UAACCGCCGUCGAGAGGCGGCGCUGAACGGACAGGAGUCAGCAGAGGCCAUAGUACAUGGGCUAGCGCUCGCCUGCGGAAGGCC
rnacentral:ncRNA from 1 species